UGGGGAAUAUUGCACAAUGGAGGGAACUCUGAUGCAGCGACGCCGCGUGAGUGAUGAAGGAAUUCGUUUCGUAAAACUCUGUUCUAUGGGAAGAUAAUGACGGUACCAUAAGAAAAAGCCCCGGCUAACUACGUGCCAGCAGCCGCGGUAAUACGUAGGGGGCUAGCGUUGUCCGGAAUCACUGGGCGUAAAGGGUUCGCAGGCGGAAAUGCAAGUCAGGUGUAAAAGGCAGUAGCUUAACUACUGUAAGCAUUUGAAACUGCAUAUCUUGAGAAGAGGAGAGGUAAGUGGAAUUUUUAGUGUAGCGGUGAAAUGCGUAGAUAUUAAAAAGAAUACCGGUGGCGAAGGCGACUUACUGGGCUCAUUCUGACGCUGAGGAACGAAAGCGUGGGUAGCAAACAGG
rnacentral:rRNA from 1 species